GUCACUAUGUCCGAGUGGUUAAGGAGUUAGACUCGAAUAGGCAAGUAUUCGUGGCAUCUAAUGGGCUCUGCCCGCGCAGGUUCAAAUCCUGCUGGUGACG
rfam:Schizosaccharomyces japonicus yFS275 unplaced genomic scaffold supercont5.1, whole genome shotgun sequence.